CCAGCAGCCGCGGUAAUACGGGAGUGGCAAGCGUUAUCCGGAAUUAUUGGGCGUAAAGCGUCCGCAGGCGGUCUGUCAAGUCUGCUGUUAAAGCGUGGAGCUUAACUCCAUUUCGGCAGUGGAAACUGACAGACUAGAGUGUGGUAGGGGCAGAGGGAAUUCCCGGUGUAGCGGUGAAAUGCGUAGAUAUCGGGAAGAACACCAGUGGCGAAGGCGCUCUGCUGGGCCAUAACUGACGCUCAUGGACGAAAGCCAGGGGAGCGAAAGGGAUUAGAUACCCCUGUAGUCCUGGCCGUAAACGAUGAACACUAGGUGUCGGGGGAAUCGACCCCCUCGGUGUCGUAGCCAACGCGUUAAGUGUUCCGCCUGGGGAGUACGCACGCAAGUGUGAAACUCAAAGGAAUUGACGGGGGCCCGCACAAGCGGUGGAGUAUGUGGUUUAAUUCGAUGCAACGCGAAAACCUUACCAGGGUUUGACAUCCUGCGAAUCUCUUGGAAACCAAAAAGUGCCUUCGGAACGCAUGACAAGUGUGCAUGCUGUCGUCAGCUCUGUCUGAAAUGUUGGGUUAAGUCCCGCAACGAGCGCAACCCACGUCGUUAGUUGCCAGCAUUUAGUUGGGCACUCUAGCGAGACCGCCGGUGAUAAACCGGAGGAAGGUGUGGAUGACGUCAAGUCAUCAUGCCCCUUACAUCCUGGGCUACACACGUACUACAAUGCUACGGACAAAGGGCAGCAAACUCGCGAGAGCUAGCAAAUCCCAUAAACCGUGGCUCAGUUCAGAUCGUAGGCUGCAACUCGCCUACGUGAAGGAGGAAUCGCUAGUAAUCGCAGGUCAGCAUACUGCGGUGAAUACGUUCCCGGGCCUUGUACACACCGCCCGUCACACCAUGGAAGUUGGCCACGCCCGAAGCCGUUACUCCAACCCUUGUGGAGGAGGACGUCGAAGGUGGGGCUGAUGACUGGGGUGAAGUCGUAACAAGGUAGCCGAU
rnacentral:rRNA from 1 species